AACGAACGCUGGCGGCAUGCCUAACACAUGCAAGUCGAACGAGACCUUCGGGUCUAGUGGCGCACGGGUGCGUAACGCGUGGGAAUCUACCCUCAGGUUCGGAAUAACUCAGAGAAAUUUGAGCUAAUACCGGAUGAUGACGUAAGUCCAAAGAUUUAUCGCCUGAGGAUGAGCCCGCGUAGGAUUAGGUAGUUGGUGAGGUAAAGGCUCACCAAGCCGACGAUCCUUAGCUGGUCUGAGAGGAUGAUCAGCCACACUGGGACUGAGACACGGCCCAGACUCCUGCGGGAGGCAGCAGUGGGGAAUAUUGGACAAUGGGCGAAAGCCUGAUCCAGCAAUGCCGCGUGAGUGAUGAAGGCCUUAGGGUUGUAAAGCUCUUUUACCCGGGAUGAUAAUGACAGUACCGGGAGAAUAAGCUCCGGCUAACUCCGUG
rnacentral:rRNA from 1 species